rnacentral:lncRNA from 1 species
UUGGCUUUUCUUAGAGCAUUCAUAAGUUCCAAAAAUGGCAACGGCUUCUUUCCCGACGCCUCCACCAUUUCUUCCCACGCCAGGUGCCCCUGUGCAGCCUUGGUUAAAUUGGAAAACGUCGUUUUUAAAUUAUAUUGUGGUCCUAGAGGCUGAUGAAAGCUCGCCGAAGCGUAAGCGCGCGUUGUUGUGGUCUUUGCUUGGUCUCGAAGGCCAAAGAAUAGUUUCAACGUUCCCAUCCACGGCCCUCGCCCAUAGCGAGACCGUCUCCGAAUUUGACGUUCUUAUGACGGCGCUUGAUCAGCACUUCGCUGCCAAAAACAAUGCUGUUGUCGAACGGAGGUUGUUCCUCACCCGCGUCCAGUCGCAGGGAGAAAGUGUCCUUGAGUACCUUGGUGCCCUACGGCACCUCGGCUCUUUUUGUGAUUUUGGGGAGUCUCUUGAAACCGCAUCGCGGAAGUUUUUUUGGCCGGGUUAUUAUCAUCGGAGGUACACAAUCGGGUAAUCCGAGAGUCUGCGGAAGCUGGACUACCCAGCCUCGAACGUAUCGUGCUUCUGGCACAACAGUUCGAACCAGCUGCUCGAGAUUGCGAUCGUUACCGCCAAAUUGCAUCAUGUCUUCCGCGUUCCGAGUCGACACAGGCCGUUGAGGCAGUACAAAGGGUUCCCGUUCGGCGUGGACAAGAUGGCCGCCAAUUGAAGUCAAAUUCGAACAUGCAACGUCAAAAUGGAGGGCGGCCUCCUGCCGUUUCCUCCUCCCCCGCAAAUGUUUCCUCCUCACCUUCCAAGGUUUCCUUCUCGCCGCGCCACCAGUCGCGUGGACUCACCCGCGUUUUUACAAGUCGACUGCCUCGUGAUGCUCCUCCGGGCGCGCGCGCUUUUGGGCGCGGGGCGGAAUCGUGCCAGUUUUGCGGUCUCCGACCCCAUCCGCGAGAGGAGUGUCCAGCGUCCGGAAUUACUUGUUUUUCUUGUGGCAAGAUAGGCCACUUUUCAAAUGUUUGCCGAAGUUCGUCUUCGUCGUCUGAAGUCAUCGACCCCCGUCGCCUGGCGUUUCCGCCGGGACGAGGCCGCGCCGCCGGUCGCCGGUACGAGAGGCUUGGACCUGGCCGUAACCAGACGCCGAUCCAUGGAAUCGUGACGUCUCCCGACGACGACGACGAGGGGGAACAACAGCCAAACAACGUCUUCACCGUCGGAUCCCCGGAGGUCCUCCCUGAAGGACGUGUCGACCGUCGCCCACUGAAUUUCACAGCUGAUGUUCAGCUGACCCUCGCUCCGCCAUCCCGGGACAUGUAAAGUCGGCUGGAGUCCCGCAGCCCCCAUGUACGGUGGAGCCCAGUCGUCCAUCGCGUCCUCCAAGUGCUCCCUGCAAGCACCCUUCAUCAUUGUCCACUGUUCACGGCACUCAGCCAUCCACGUCGUCUGAGUACUACUCAAGUAGAGGCGUCUUCGGAGACCAGCCUUCAAGGGAUCCGUCGACGUCGGGACCAUCUUUGCAACCUUCAUCGCCCCUGAUGCCGGUCUUGUCCCGACGGCCCAAGAGGUCGUCUCUGCCACUGCGGCCCCUGUGGCCGCCCAUGCUACUGCGGCACCCGGCCCUGGCCAUAUUGCCGUGGCGCCUGGUGCCCAUAGUCAUGCGACCCCUGGCGCCGCCCAUGAUCCUGCUGUGCCAGGCGUCGUUCCUCAUCAUACGGCUCCUGCAGCCCAUGUAGCUGUGGUCCCUGGUGCUGCCCAUGUACCGGUAGUACCCGGUGCCCUCCCUGUUCCUGGCGUACCCGGCACUAGUUCCGUGGUACCCUGUACCGUGCAAGAUGCAGUGGUUUCCGGUGGCCUUCCCGCCACCCCAGUCCCCGGUGCCGUUCCUGAUUCCGGUUUCCAAGCGGCCUUUCCCGCUGCUGUACCAGUCCAAGCCAGCAGCCAGCCACCAGUUCUGCCGGCUGCCCAGGCUAGUCUUCCAAGAGGCCCCCAGGGUCGCUUUCCAGGAGGGUCCUGAACCUUCCGUUCCUUCAAGCGGUGCAAUAGUGAGCACCGCAUCAAGUUCAUCAC